AUUGAACGCUGGCGGCAUGCCUUACACAUGCAAGUCGAACGGCAGCACGGGUGCUUGCACCUGGUGGCGAGUGGCGAACGGGUGAGUAAUAUAUCGGAACGUACCUUAUUGUGGGGGAUAACGCAGCGAAAGCUGUGCUAAUACCGCAUAAUCCCUAAGGGGGAAGGCGGGGGACCGUAAGGCCUCGCGCAAUUAGAGCGGCCGAUACCUGAUUAGCUAGUUGGUGAGGUAAAGGCUCACCAAGGCAACGAUCAGUAGCUGGUCUGAGAGGACGAUCAGCCACACUGGGACUGAGACACGGCCCAGACUCCUACGGGAGGCAGCAGUGGGGAAUUUUGGACAAUGGGGGCAACCCUGAUCCAGCAAUGCCGCGUGAGUGAAGAAGGCCUUCGGGUUGUAAAGCUCUUUUGUCAGGGAAGAAACAGCAGCUCUAACACAGUUUGCGAAUGACGGUACCUGAAGAAUAAGCACGGCUAACUACGUGCCAGCCGCCGCGGUAG
rnacentral:rRNA from 1 species